AGCGCCUCCACAGGGGGAAGCUCCCGCCGGGGCGUUCACUAAGCCCCGAGACCUCGGCGGACGAGCAGUGACCCAGUCACAUUGUAGUUUCCAGAGCCUUGGGGCCCCGGCCUAGCCCAGGACCUCCUACGGCCCUGCUGCCAGCCCAUUGGUUCUCUUUUAAUCCUGCAUGGAGAGAGGGCUCGCCUGCCCUGGGUAGCGGGUGACGAGGCUGGGACGCGCCACUGCCUCGUGUUCUGCGGCAGUGGGGAAGAAGACAAAGCCGCGACUUCUCGCACGCUGCCUUCAGUUGGGGGCCGCCCCCGCGGUCACUCUCGCAGGCGCUCCGCCUCGGUCCCUGAGAGGAAGUGGGGGUGGCCCAAGCGCGGGUCCAGUCGUAAUCCCAGGUUGGAUGCGGAGCUGGCCUUAAGCGGCAGUUUCAAUCGGGAUUCCCAAAAGCUGUUCCCCGGGGAGUCGAACUCCCAGCUCGAAGGCACUUUCCGAACUCCACUCCUCUUCUCCCUUCCAAAUGAGCGUCUGUCUCCUUCUCUAUAAAUUAAGGAUACGAAUGACUGUCUCUCAAGAUUGUGGUGAAGAUGAAAUAGUUAAUAAAGGGAAAAACACCCCGUACCGAGGAAGAUACAUGAGAGUGUUCAAUAAAUAAUUGUUUCUGGACUGUUC